GACUACUGGGGUAUCUAAUCCUGUUUGCUCCCCACGCUUUCGCACCUCAGCGUCAGUAUCGAGCCAGUGAGCCGCCUUCGCCACUGGUGUUCCUCCGAAUAUCUACGAAUUUCACCUCUACACUCGGAAUUCCACUCACCUCUCUCGAACUCAAGACUGGGAGUUUUGAAGGCAGUUCCAAGGUUGAGCCCUGGGAUUUCACCUCCAACUUUCCAGUCCGCCUACGUGCGCUUUACGCCCAGUAAUUCCGAACAACGCUAGCCCCCUCCGUAUUACCGCGGCUGCUGGCACGGAGUUAGCCGGGGCUUCUUCUGGGGGUACAGUCAUUAUCUUCCCCCCUGAAAGAUCUUUACAACCCUAAGGCCUUCAUCGAUCACGCGGCAUGGCUAGAUCAGGCUUGCGCCCAUUGUCCAAGAUUCCCCACUGCAGCCCCCCGUAGG
rnacentral:rRNA from 1 species